UAGGGAAUCUUCCGCAAUGGACGAAAGUCUGACGGAGCAACGCCGCGUGAGUGAUGAAGGUUUUCGGAUCGUAAAGCUCUGUUGUUAGGGAAGAAUAAGUGUUAUUCAAAUAGGAUAGCACCUUGACGGUACCUAACCAGAAAGCCACGGCUAACUACGUG
rnacentral:rRNA from 1 species